rnacentral:rRNA from 1 species
GGAAGUAAAAGUCGUAACAAGGUUUCCGUAGGUGAACCUGCGGAAGGAUCAUUACAGAAAUAGGAGAAGGUUGCUUAACUGCAAUCCUUUUCUUUCUACACAUGUGUUUUUCUUUUUUUUGAAAACUUUGCUUUGGUGGGCCCACGGCCUGCCAGAGAUUAAACUCAACCAAAUUUUUAUUUAAUUGUCAACUUGAUUAACUAAUAGUCAAAACUUUCAACAACGGAUCCCUUGGUUCUCACAUCGAUGAAGAACGCAGCGAAAUGCGAUAAGUAAUAUGAAUUGCAGAUAUUCGUGAAUCAUCGAAUCUUUGAACGCACAUUGCGCCCUUUGGUAUUCCAAAGGGCAUGCCUGUUUGAGCGUCAUUUCUCCCUCAAACCUUCGGGUUUGGUGUUGCGCGAUACGCUGGGUUUGCUUGAAAGAAAGGCGGAGUAUAAACUAAUGGAUAGGUUUUUUUUUCCACUCAUUGGUACAAACUCCAAACAUUCUUCCAAAUUCGACCUCAAAUCAGGUAGGACUACCCGCUGAACUUAAGCAUAUCAAUAAGCGGAGGAA